rnacentral:sRNA from 1 species
CUUUAACAAUCCGGAACAAGCUGAAAAUUUGAAACGAUGAUUAGUCUUUAUGAUUAAUCACGAGUCUCUCAACAAACUUGCAUCCCGAAACAUCUUCGG